GCACUCGUAGGGUAGAAGUUAACCUGCUUCCCCCCCAAAACACAACCGCCGAACUGGGUUGGUUGGUGUAGCGGCGACAGGAAGAGACCCGGGUGCAAGUCCCGGCGGGUGCA